rnacentral:lncRNA from 1 species
AGACAGACUCAUACUUGCCAUGGCGAUGUGUAUCCCUCCUCUCAAAGGAUGGAGCAGCAAGCACCUUGUAGUUGCGGCCAUGAUAGGAACCCUGGUCGUGGUCGCCAUCGCCGCAGUCAUCAUCGUCGACCUCACUCCGCCUCAAGUCUUCUUCUCCAUCGAAGAUGCAAGCCUCCAGAAUGGGUCGUACAAACAGCAAAAAUUCUACAACUUCACUCUCUCUGCCAACAACACCAGCCGGCGCAUGGAGGUGCAUUAUACCACCCUCAACACUGAGAUAUGGAUAACCCCGUCUGAUUGGUAUUCAGCCGAGUUGAGCAUGAGCGGGUUCACGCAGCAGCCACCGGACAACGUGACCAAGUUCGCCGGGUGGGCCGAGUUGUAUCAGCUGGAUAGCAUGAUGGCGUCGGCGCAGGGCAGCGGCGCGGGGAAUUGGCCAAACUGCACCGUGGUGGUGAUAGCCAAGGUGUUGUUCAAGGUCGGGCUGGCACGCACACGGCCGUACCACAUCAGGGUGUCCUGCUUCCCCGUCAACUUCCGCGAUAAGACUCGGUACGCCAAUUGUACCUACUGAUCUCUCCAGUUUAGGAAGGGGAGAAGAGCCGAGGCUUUCUUGGGAGGUUGCCGGAGGAGGAGCUGAGGAAGGAUGGGGCGCGGCAAGAUCGAAAUCAAGCGGAUCGAGAACUCUACCAACCGCCAAGUGACCUUCUCCAAGCGCCGCAACGGGAUCCUCAAGAAGGCGCGGGAGAUCAGCGUGCUCUGCGAUGCCAAGGUCGGCAUCGUCAUCUUCUUCGCGAUUUGCUGGGCGCUCGAUCUGCCCCGCCCUCCGCCCUCCCAGCCUUGCGUCGCCCCUCUCACCCCUCCCCCGUGAACUUCCUCAAUACGACUCGGUACGCCUCCCAAGCAAGUAGCUGAAGCAAACAGGCUGAAAGAAAGGCUUACCUUAAAUUCUGUCAGUCUCUGUAUGGCUGUUGUCUGGAGGGCUCCAGUACACCUUAGAUCUGCUGUUGUUGGUGUUGUUAAUGGACUCCUGAUAUCUGCUUCCGUUCAUGUUCCAGUUCCAUUUGGUCUCGAAAUUAAAGAUAUAUUCUUCAUCAUAUCGGUAAUGUCGCGCGGUUCUUGGUUUCAAGUACUGCCUGCAUUUGUUUUUUCUUUUCCUUGUCAUUUGGUCCGUCAGAACUAAGUUUGUUGAAUUCCUUCUGAAUAAGCUUGAGACGCUGGUCGUGCUUGUUUGUUGGUGUGCCUACGUGCCGCAUAGUUUGUCGUAGCAAAUACUUUCGGUUCCAUAUCGCCUGUGUACUACUGGACCGGGAUGUUCUUCAAUCUGUUAUGACCCUGUAUUCUGUUUUUAUAUAGAUCCCAUGUAUGUAUUCUGAAUGCACAGCCCCUGCUGGGAAAUUGGUUUCCCUACUGCGUGUCUGUGUUUACAUGCAUCUUCUAACUGUGGUUCCAAUGGCCCGUCUAGGCCCAUACAGGCCUAUCAGGUGGACGGGCCGGCCGGCCUCCUGGAUCAAAAAGGCCGGUACCCAUCCCUUCUUGGCCCACAAGUCAUGGAGGCGCGCGAGGAGGGGUAUCGGUUUCACGAUGAUUAAUAAAGAAAGGCCCAAGACACGUCACGCUGUGGAGGGGGACAAGGGAAGACACCGGCACACCGCA